AGCGAACGCUGGCGGCGUGCCUAACACAUGCAAGUCGAACGUGAAAGGGAGCAAUCCCAAGUAAAGUGGCGUACGGGUGAGUAACACGUAGGUAAUCUACCCCAGAAUCUGGAAUAACCGGCCGAAAGGCUGGCUAAUACUGGAUAGAGCGACGGAAUCCGUAAUUGGGUUUUUCGGGAAAGGGAGCCUGUAAAAAGGCCUUCGUUCUGGGAUGAGCCUGCGUCCCAUCAGCUAGUUGGUGAGGUAAAAGCUUACCAAGGCAAUGACGGGUAGCUGGUCUGAGAGGACGGUCCGCCACACUGGAACUGAAACACGGUCCAGACUCCUACGGGAGGCAGCAGUGGGGAAUCUUGCGCAAUGGACGAAAGUCUGACGCAGCAACGCCGCGUGAGUGCAGAAGGCCUUCGGGUUGUAAAGCUCUGUCGAGUGGGACGAAAAUGCUUGGAGUUCACAGCUCCAGGAACUGACGGUACCACUAAAGGAAGCACCGGCUAACUCCGUG
rnacentral:rRNA from 1 species